AUCAGCAUUAGUCAUAUAGAUAUGACUUGGUGGGUAAAAUCUCAUCUGCCUCUCAGAUGGAUAGGGGAAGACCAGUCAGGGUGGGUGGCAAAGAGUCAGAGCUCUACAGUGACAGUAUAGUUACAUCUGCUGGACAAAGGCACAGCCAUAACCAGCCAUCCAGCCCCCCUGCCCUCAAGGAUCUGCAAAAGCCAGCCUCAGUCCUGCUGCGACAGCUACUAUAUCAUCAAAGAAAUUCAGACUGACCUGUCCAAUUUCAACACCUCUGUGCCUAUAGGCCCAAAUGAAUGCUACAGGCUGAAGGAUGUCAAAUUUCUGAUGUCUAACCUGGCUGCCUUCCGGAAUGCUUCAGACAAGUUUGUCAGUAUCUCUAACUCGUCUUUAGCCAUCAGUAAAAAUCUGAAGACUCUUGAGAAUAUUCUGCAAAAAUUACCCAUAGUCACCCUUACCUACCAGGAAGAAGAGGACAUCCAAAUUGUAGAUUUUGGCAAGUUCCCAAAGAAGUUGAAUACCUUCCUGGGAUUCCUAUAUCAAAAGCUGAAAUCUUCACUGAACUGCUCACAAGUUUAAAAAUCAAGUAGAAGAAAGACAUCCUAAGUCCUGGCCUUUACACUUCUGCAACUGAGCUGGUAUCAAGUCCUAGGUCUCUAAUACUCCUCUGAUAGUUCCUCUGAAACUGAUAAUUCAGUUAAUGCUUCACUUUGCCACAGAUUUCAAAUCUUGACAUCUAGUUUAUUCUAAAGUUUGGUCACAGGGUUAUCAAA